CCCCCCCUCUCUGCCCAGGAAUCCUUCUGGCGCAUCCCGGCCGCCCUCACCCCGCAGCAGCUCCGGCGUGCGGCCGCCUCCAUCGCCCACCGUGGCCCCUCAGGAGCCCCCCAGGACCUGCCAGAGCCACCCAAGUGCCCCCAGGACCUGGCUCCAGCAGAGCCGGCAGGGCUGGGAUCGGACUCGGAGAGCGAGGAGCCCGUCCCCGUCCCCAGCCCAGUGCAGCCGCGCACCAAGAGGCGCCGGGAGCUCACCAGCGAGGAUGAGGACGGUGGGAGCUCAGGUGGGUUCAGCCCCUCUGUUCACUCCUGGGUGUCACCAGGGGCACGGCUGAGCCAGGGUUGUCCUGUCCCUGUCCCCUCUGCCACAUCCCUGGGGGGCUCAGCCCUCUCCCUCCAUCCCCAGGCACCGAACCGGCCCCUGCGGCUCCCUGCUCCGAGGAGGAUGAGGAGGAUGAAGGUCCACAGCCCCAGGGGAGGCGGAAGCGCAUCCGCUGCCUGGAUGAGGAAGAGGAGGACGACUGAGUGGCUCCCCAUACCACGCCUGUGCCCAGGCCCUGUGCUGUUUCCUGGGCUUUUUGCAGAUUUUAUUGGAUUUCUGCAGGUUUUCUGCAGGUUUUCUGGUGUUUCUACAGGUUUUCUGGGGUUUCUGCAGAUUUUCUUCUGCAGGUUUUGAUGCUGCUUUUAAAGGCUGCACAAGCAACCAGUUUCUUCGCCUUCCCCCACCUUCCCCUGGUGUCACCAUCUCCGUUUUACCCCAAAUUCCCUCUUUUUCUUCAGCUCUUGGGGGUUUUUUUUCCUAAAACUUUUUACGUCUGGACAGGGCCUAAAUAAAUAAAGGUGACUUUUGGCCUUCUUGGGUGUG
rnacentral:lncRNA from 1 species